UUGAAACUAUGAUACAUCCUGUGAAAAAAGAUGCUGCAGUUAUUUUAAAAAAUGCUUUAAUUAGUUUCAAAUGAGAUUUUUGUGUUGAUCUCUCCCACACUCAUGAAGUUAUGAGGCCUCAGAAAUACUAAAAUCAUAAAUCAAACUUUAAGUCGGCCUUUUUAUUUACAGCAAGGUUUAUGAUAAGAAUGUAAAAAUGUGCUUGGCUGCAUUAUAUGGAUCAUAAUGUAUGUAAAUUUAGUGAAGUCUAUCAAAUAUGAGAGCAGCUGGUUCAAGUUCAGCCCUGAAUAAUAUUUCGUGAACUUGUGGCAACAUUUAGUAUAAGUCAACAGAACCGGCUCUGAGCUGCUUAUAUUUAAUUUUAAUUUCAAAUCAAAGCCACAUAAAACAUUUUAGACACUUGAGAUUAAAAGUGUUUGUCACGCCCUGCUCUGACUGAGCUCUUUGUAGAGGUUAGGUCACAAGUUGGCCUAAUUUUGGUACAUUAUAACAGUGCGUGCAAAAUAGCAUACCGCAAGGUCCUUUCUAUAGUACAGGAAAUCUGUGGUCUACCAGAUUUCCUGUAUGAGGUUGAAAACUGCUCAUGGUUAUCACACUGUGCUUGAGCCGUGUGCAAAUUCCCUGCUGACUCGGCCUCAGGAUGUCUAGAGGCAAGAAUCAAGCGCACCCAAAUGAGCGCAUCAGUGGUCGUGUGCACAUCACGCAGAGGGAGAGUGAGAGAGGAAAGGCGCAGCAGCAGAGCAUGGCAGUUGUAACGCAGUUUGUGUGAUUCCGUGUGCGUUAAUGAAACUUUUCCAGACAACCAUGCUUAUAGUCACCUAUUCUGCAUCUGCCACAAUUAUAAGUUCAUAUCUGGCUGCAUCACAGUUGGAUUUAUCAUGCCAGGCCCUGCUGUAACCAGUUCUUCUGUGAAGCUUAAUUAAAGACAGUGAACUAAACUCCUGGACUGCUGCAGUCUUUCUGACCGAAGACUUAGGCCAGACUUGUAUACCCA